rnacentral:rRNA from 1 species
AUUGAACGCUGGCGGCAUGCCUUACACAUGCAAGUCGAACGGCAGCACGGGAGCAAUCCUGGUGGCGAGUGGCGAACGGGUGAGUAAUAUAUCGGAACGUGCCCGGUCGUGGGGAUAACGUAGCGAAAGCUACGCUAAUACCGCAUACGACCUACGGAUGAAANCGGGGGAUCGCAAGACCUCGCGCGAUUGGAGCGGCCGAUAUCAGAUUAGGUAGUUGGUGAGGUAAAGGCUCACCAAGCCGACGAUCUGUAGCUGGUCUGAGAGGACGACCAGCCACACUGGGACUGAGACACGGCCCAGACUCCUACGGGAGGCAGCAGUGGGGAAUUUUGGACAAUGGGCGCAAGCCUGAUCCAGCAAUGCCGCGUGCAGGAU